rnacentral:rRNA from 1 species
ACACAUGCAAGUCGAGGGGAAACGACAUCGAAAGCUUGCUUUUGAUGGGCGUCGACCGGCGCACGGGUGAGUAACGCGUAUCCAACCUGCCCACCACUUGGGGAUAACCUUGCGAAAGUAAGACUAAUACCCAAUGACGUCUCUAGAAGACAUCUGAAGGAGAUUAAAGAUUUAUCGGUGAUGGAUGGGGAUGCGUCUGAUUAGCUUGUUGGCGGGGUAACGGCCCACCAAGGCGACGAUCAGUAGGGGUUCUGAGAGGAAGGUCCCCCACAUUGGAACUGAGACACGGUCCAAACUCCUACGGGAGGCAGCAGUGAGGAAUAUUGGUCAAUGGACGAGAGUCUGAACCAGCCAAGUAGCGUGCAGGAUGACGGCCCUAUGGGUUGUAAACUGCUUUUAUAAGGGAAUAAAGUGAGUCUCGUGAGACUUUUUGCAUGUACCUUACGAAUAAGGACCGGCUAAUUCCGUGCCAGCAGCCGCGGUAAUACGGAAGGUCCGGGCGUUAUCCGGAUUUAUUGGGUCUAAAGGGAGCGUAGGCCGGAGAUUAAGCGUGUUGUGAAAUGUAGAUGCUCAACAUCUGCACUGCAGCGCGAACUGGUUUCCUUGAGUACGCACAAAGUGGGCGGAAUUCGUGGUGUAGCGGUGAAAUGCUUAGAUAUCACGAAGAACUCCGAUUGCGAAGGCAGCUCACUGGAGCGCAACUGACGCUGAAGCUCGAAAGUGCGGGUAUCGAACAGGAUUAGAUACCCUGGUAGUCCGCACGGUAAACGAUGGAUGCCCGCUGUUGGUCUGAAUAGGUCAGCGGCCA